GAUGAACGCUGGCGGCGUGCCUAAUACAUGCAAGUCGAGCGAACGGACGAGAAGCUUGCUUCUCUGAUGUUAGCGGCGGACGGGUGAGUAACACGUGGAUAACCUACCUAUAAGACUGGGAUAACUUCGGGAAACCGGAGCUAAUACCGGAUGGUAUUUUGAACCGCAUGGUUCAAAAGUGAAAGACGGUCUUGCUGUCACUUAUAGAUGGAUCCGCGCUGCAUUAGCUAGUUGGUAAGGUAACGGCUUACCAAGGCAACGAUGCAUAGCCGACCUGAGAGGGUGAUCGGCCACACUGGAACUGAGACACGGUCCAGACUCCUACGGGAGGCAGCAGUAGGGAAUCUUCCGCAAUGGGCGAAAGCCUGACGGAGCAACGCCGCGUGAGUGAUGAAGGUCUUCGGAUCGUAAAACUCUGUUAUUAGGGAAGAACAUAUGUGUAAGUAACUGUGCACAUCUUGACGGUACCUAAUCAGAAAGCCACGGCUAACUACGUG
rnacentral:rRNA from 1 species